UUAACUGUAAACUCUCUCCCUCUCUCUCUCUGCCCUAUUGUUUCUCCAUCUCUCAAGUGUUGAAGAGAGCAGCAAUCUCUUAAAAUCAGACAUGGCCUUCAAGACGGAUUACCUUCAAUUAUCUGUCGUGGACAAAGAAUCAGUUUGCUCAUGAAUAUAGAAACACUAGCUUCCAUGAUCAGUAGACGAUAUUGAUAUCCGAGUCGACGAAUCGGAUUGAAAUCAGUUACAAGGGUUGGGUUGAAGAGAAAUAGGAAAGAUCGGUGGGGUGGGAAAAAGAAGAGGAGAGAUUCAGCUGUUGCUGAAAUUUUCAUCGAUUUUUUGGGAGAAAGUUUUGAGGAGAAGCACAGGUAUGUGUUUGACUUGGGUUUCUUGUUGGUAGCGGAGGCACCGUCUCUGGGGUUGGACAGUAUCUCAAAUCUCAAAACCCUGAUUGUAAGGAGAUAGAGGCUGAUAAUGUUAUGGGCUCAAGUAGGGUUGAUGAAGAUGCUAAACCCAUUUUACAAUAUGGACACAGGUAGAAGCCUGUUGCUUUCAAUUUCUAUAAUUUAAGGUCUUCAGCUGAUCCAAAUUGGUAGAACUGUGUUGUCAGAAGUUGAGUCUCACUUUCAGCAGUGGUAUUAAAUCAAUUGAAAGUAGUUUUGCUGUUUAGUAUCAAGUUGCAGAAAUUGAAGAAAGCAAUGGUCCAGCUCUUGCUAUAGUUCCACAUUGUAGGCUCAAAUGCUUGGGAUUGAGGAAAUGUUGAGAGACUAGAAGUUGGAGCAUUCGUCUCUAUAGGAGCAAUUGGUCGCAUUAAUUUGCAUCAAAUUUGUGCAGGGGAAGAAUCACCACUGGGUUUGCCUUUGAUGGGUCGAUCGUUUAUCACAAGGUCUUACUCUUAGUAAAUUUGUACCAAGAACUAUAUUUAAAAUGCAUUUCCAGGAAAAGAAGUUUAUCAUGAGCUAAAUUUGAUGGUUUAAUGGGUUUGAGCUGUUAAACAGGCAGUACAAUCUUUGCAAAUUGUCCAUUGAGGAUUAGAGGAGAACGUAGAUAUCAUGCCUAUAAUUAAGGUCUUUGCAGAAUUUUCUUUUCUUUGAUUAGAAUUACUGUUAUUGUAUAUUAAUUUUAAUUUUUUUUUAAUUUGAAAUAUUGUCUGUCAC